AUAACUCCAUUGCUAUGUAAAUAGUUAAUCUUACACUGAAAUUUAUUUGACAGAUGGUAAUUAAAAAUAAUCGGACCGGAGAAACUACAUAGCUCACAAGAACCAUCUAAUUUCACAGGCCAACUAAUACAUUCAGUGCACAAUUUUUUCCAGGUUCUCAAAAAUAAGUUGGUAAUGCUAAGAUCUUAAGCACCAAACUGCACCAGCAGCUAAUAGAACCAUAUUCUCAAUUUAGAAAAGAUCCAUGUCGAUCCCAAGAUAGCAAGAUAUACAAGUGGAGAAAGACAAAACAGAUUUCAGAUAUAAUAGACAUAACAGUUAAAAAAAGGUAAAUCAAAAUAAAACUUCAAUAGACGAAUCUAAGUCGACAUUAUUUCAGUACCGGAGCAACUAUUUUCUCCAGCCACGAGCUCUUCGCAGGUUUGGCUUCAGAUGAUUCAAGAACCCUAAAUCCCAUCCAUUACCUUUGUCAUCUGAAAAAAUGCCAGAAGGAUCAAUAAGCCCAAAAACUUAUACAAACGAAAUGGCUAAAGAAAUGCCGAGGGGAGCAUUCUCCUCCUAAGAAAAUUUUCAAGCACAGCCUGAGAGGAGCAAAUGGUAAGUCCGCCAAAAAUAUGAAGUUGGUUUCUCAGGGACACAACAUUUGGUUUCAUUAGAUAAUCUAAAUCAAAAACAUGCUCUACUUUUGUGUAGAAAAGUGAAGAUCUACAAAAACAAUCAACAUGACAAACUUCUUUCAGUCAAGGGCAAACUUCUGUGAGUCCCAUAGCAUAACAUCAAUUUUAGGAUGCAAAGGUGUUCCCUGAAAGAAAGGCAGUUCAACAAAAAUAGAAAAAAAGCUAUAACAAAAGCCAAUACAGAGUCGCUGCUCAGGCCAAGAAAAAAAACUAUAACAAAACUGGAAUUAGUAUUCUCGGAGUUCCUUCUCCAGGAAGAUACAAUAAUUAAGAUUAAGUGGUAGGAAUCAACGAGCUAGAUUACUUUCUUUAUAAUAUAUAUAUACAGGUCUGGCCCUUUCGAAUUCAAAUAAAACAUCAACAAUCGGAACUUAAGUUCCGGCUGUUGUUUCUUAAAUUUUGGUUGUAGUUUCUUAAGUUUCGAUUGGAAUUGUACUUUUGCGUUAAUUGAGGAAUAUGUCUAUUUUUUCUGGGUCUAGAACCUGUACUUAUUGAAAUUGACUGGGCUUCAAAUUGCUGUCAUGGUAUCGAAUACGAUAUUUAUCUAAUUGAAUAAAAAAGGGGAGGAUGCGUGUGCAGAGAUCAGACCUGCUUGCGCAAUCAGUAUAGUGCCAUACGUCGAACCUUUAUAACUUAAGUAGCAAUCACUGGAACCUGGGGCAAAAAAUCAUGCAUUUUGUUAGAAAUGACCAUGACGGCAAACACGUGCAGUACCACUCCUAGUUUCAACAGGAACAAUAGCAGUAGAACAGAACUGAUUCACAAUAACAGUUUACCAUCACAACUAACAUGAUGGAUGAACCAAACAGAGAGGUGAGCGGAUACUGUAGGCGGAGAAUAGGGCUUGUUCGGUUAGGCAGGGUUUGAAGAGGUUUGGAAGGGAUUAAACCCCUUGCAAGUCAAAAUCCCUUUCAAUCCCUUUGGUGAGGGGAUUAACCGAACAGGGUCACGCGGAAGUGAGCACCUGAGGUGGAGNNN
rnacentral:lncRNA from 1 species